UCCUCGGUAGUAUAGUGGUUAGUAUCCCCGCCUGUCACGCGGGAGACCGGGGUUGGAUUCCCCGCCGGGGAG
rnacentral:tRNA from 1 species